rnacentral:lncRNA from 1 species
GGAAAUGUGAUUCAUAUUAUUUGAGAAGAAGAAAGAUUGAAUGCUGAAAUCUGAUUGUAGUUCAGCAGAGAAAAUGAGUCUGUGUUUGUAUGAAAUACUGUAAUGUGAAUGGCAGUUCUGUGUGAAGAAUUCCAGUGAUUGGAAUGAGUGCAAUUCUGUGCUGAAAGCUGUGAGGGCACGGUAUUAUAGUUGGAGAUUAUGAGGGUGAAUAUAUUGGUGGAAAUAGCAGUUAUUGAUAUGAUUGAAUUGCUGUAAGGAAGAGACUGAUAAGAUGAAGGAGGAGAUUAUAGUUUCCUUGUGUGUUCAGAUAUUGGAAAUAGAGACGAUACAUUGAAGAGGUAAUUGAUUGUGUGAUCCUAACGUGAAUGCUUAAGCAACUAGUCAUUCCCCGUGUUCGAAUCUCCUUAUACGGAUUUAUUUCU